UGGGGAAUUUUGGACAAUGGGCGAAAGCCUGAUCCAGCAAUGCCGCGUGUGUGAAGAAGGCCUUCGGGUUGUAAAGCACUUUUGUCCGGAAAGAAAUCCUUGGCUCUAAUACAGUCGGGGGAUGACGGUACCGGAAGAAUAAGCACCGGCUAACUACGUGCCAGCAGCCGCGGUAAUACGUAGGGUGCAAGCGUUAAUCGGAAUUACUGGGCGUAAAGCGUGCGCAGGCGGUUUGCUAAGACCGAUGUGAAAUCCCCGGGCUCAACCUGGGAACUGCAUUGGUGACUGGCAGGCUAGAGUAUGGCAGAGGGGGGUCAGAAUUCCACGUGUAGCAGUGAAAUGCGUAGAGAUGUGGAGGAAUACCGAUGGCGAAGGCAGCCCCCUGGGCCAAUACUGACGCUCAUGCACGAAAGCGUGGGGAGCAAACAGGAUUAGAUACCCUGGUAGUCCACGCCCUAAACGAUGUCAACUAGUUGUUGGGGAUUCAUUUCCUUAGUAACGUAGCUAACGCGUGAAGUUGACCGCCUGGGGAGUACGGUCGCAAGAUUAAAACUUCAAAUGAAUU
rnacentral:rRNA from 1 species